AUGGGAUCUGACAGGAUCGGGACGAGGAGGCGGCUGCGAGGUACACGCUCUGGAUGCCGUGUGUGGAUGCGCUCAUUGCCGAGGCCGAGGCCGCUCUUUCUGGAGGCCGACGCCGCUCUUUCUGGAAGAAAUCCAUCGGUGUCAAGAGGGGUGACGUGGACACCUACGUCCUUCAUGUUUGGGCGCUGGAGGGCGACGGGAGGCAUCGAUUCGCCUAGGGGACUGCGGCUGCUAGAAGAGAUGCAGCAAUUGAAAGAUGCACAGGUACUUGAUGAGAUGCCACUAAGUCAAUCUGCUAUCUCAGGUUAUAUUGGAUGGUAA
rnacentral:rRNA from 1 species